GACGAGGGGUCCUAGCGUUGUUCGGAAUUAUUGGGCGUAAAGCGCACGUAGGUGGCUUUGUAAGUCAGAUGUGAAAGCCCUGGGCUCAACCCAGGAAGUGCAUUUGAUACUGCGAAGCUUGAAUAUGGGAGAGGGUAGUAGAAUUCCUGGUGUAGUGGUGAAAUACGUAGAUAUCAGGAGGAAUACCGGUGGCGAAGGCGGCUACCUGGCCCAAUAUUGACACUGAGGUGCGAAAGCGUGGGGAUCAAACAGG
rnacentral:rRNA from 1 species